rfam:TPA: Bos taurus chromosome 1, whole genome shotgun sequence.
UCCCUGGUAGCCCAGUGGUUAGGACUCUGUGCUUUUACUGCUGUGGGCCCAGGUUUGAUCCCUGGUCAGGGAA